rnacentral:lncRNA from 1 species
AGCACUUGCCGAGCUCCGAGCGCGCACCUGUCUAGGCGCGAAGAGGCCGAGAGUGGAGAUUCCGCGUUACUCCGCCCCGAGGGCUGCGGCGUUCCCGGCCCUCCCAAGUCCGGACUGGGAGCGUUGGAGGAUGCGGGAGAAGGAUGGAGGGCGGGAGCUGCUGGGCCCGGUUCUCUUUCUUCAGCCUACUCUUUGUUUCAAGCACAGCCCCUUCUAACUGGGCACUUCCUUGUGAGGGACUCGUGUCUGCUUAAAAUGGCGACAGGAAAUCUCACCUGCGCGCCAAUUAGUACAGGGCGAAUUGACAGGGUGGAAACUGGAAACUUAUAUUGACAGGGAUGGUUCCGUCGUGGUGUCUCAUCAAAACAGGACAGGGAAGGUGAAUCAUAAUCCAUAAAGUCACCGGUCUGGAGUCUUUCAAGCCGGCAGAUCGAGUAGUCAGUGUUGCAGUGGUUAUUUCAUCUGGGUCACUGCUGGAGACCACGACAGAGAACAACCCAGCGGAGCUCCUCCUCAUUAUUGACUAAAAUUCUUAUUCCCUUCGAACGGAAGUGGAUGGCCUUAGUUAGUUCAACAGUGGCUUCCUGAGAGCCCAGUUCAGAAGGCGUGUUCUUGACUUACCUGAGAAACCGAAAGGUCCGUUCAAACAAGGGGAAAGACAGGCAGCCUCGCUCAGCGGAUCCGCAGUUUCUUAGACUCGUAUUGCUUCCCUCACCAGCUUAACUAUUUUUGUCCCGGUGCUGUUUUCCUAGUUGGAAGGAAAAAAAAAAGAUUAAUAGUAGACACAUCAGAGUAAUAUUCUGUAGGUCAUCUACUUUCUACCUUUUUGCCUAGAGGAAGUUAAUUUAGUGUGAAAUUACUGAGGUCAAGUAGGGUGCACUUUGCCUGGCACAAAUAAUUCCUAUGAAUCAGGUUGAGCAUCGAAAGGGAACAUAGCUGGAAGAUGGAUUUUCUUCCAAGAGCAGAGAAAUGAAAGUGAUCACAGGAAGGGAUGGAAGGCAUCAAGGAAAGUCAGUAUGUAGAUAAGAAAACUAGGGAAAAAAACAAAAUUGAAAGCCAGGAAUAGCUGAAGCAAGUCAUAAAUGCACAGCACCAGCUCUUAGGGCAGGCCUGGGGUAGGGUCAUCUCCACAUAUUAGAGCCAUCCUCUCACUAGGUGCUACUGGAUGCUAAAAUCUUAUGAGCAGAAGCAGUUUUCAGGUUUUCUGCUGGAAAGGUAGCUUUUGGGGGAAAGAGGUGUUUUGAUUUCAUUUGUCUUCUCACUAUAAGAGUAUUUAAA